UACGGGGGGGGGCAAGCGUUGUUCGGAAUUACUGGGCGUAAAGGGCUCGUAGGCGGCCAACUAAGUCAGACGUGAAAUCCCUCGGCUUAACCGGGGAACGUGCGUCUGAUACUGGAUGGCUUGAGAUUGGGAGAGGGAUGCGGAAUUCCGAGGUGUAGCGGUGAAAUGACGUAGAUAUCUGGAGGAACACCGGUGGCGAAGGCGGCAUCCUGGACCAACACUGACGCUGAGGCGCGAAAGCGUGGGGAGCAAACAGG
rnacentral:rRNA from 1 species